GACGAACGCUGGCGGCGUGCCUAAUACAUGCAAGUAGAACGCUGAAGGAGGAGCUUGCUCUUCUGGAUGAGUUGCGAACGGGUGAGUAACGCGUAGGUAACCUGCCUGGUAGCGGGGAUAACUAUUUGAAAAGAUAGCUAAUACCGCAUAAGAGUAGAUGUUUCAUGACCUUUUCUUAAAAGGUGCAAUUGCAUCCCUAACAGAUGGACCUGCGUUGUAUUAGCUAGUUGGUGGGGUAACGGCUCACCAAGGCGACGAUACAUAGCCGACCUGAGAGGGUGAUCGGCCACACUGGGACUGAGACACGGCCCAGACUCCUACGGGAGGCAGCAGUAGGGAAUCUUCGGCAAUGGACGGAAGUCUGACCGAGCAACGCCGCGUGAGUGAAGAAGGUUUUCGGAUCGUAAAGCUCUGUUGUAAGAGAAGAACGAGUGUGAGAGUGGAAAGUUCACACUGUGACGGUAUCUUACCAGAAAGGGACGGCUAACUACGUG
rnacentral:rRNA from 1 species